rnacentral:rRNA from 1 species
UACGGGGGGGGUAAGCGUUGUUCGGAAUUACUGGGCGUAAAGGGCUCGUAGGCGGCCAACUAAGUCAUACGUGAAAUCCCUCAGCUUAACUGGGGAACUGCGUGUGAUACUGGAUGGCUUGGAUUUGGGAGAGGGAUGCGGAAUUCCAGGUGUAGCGGUGAAAUGCGUAGAUAUCUGGAGGAACACCGGUGGCGAAGGCGGCAUCCUGGACCAAUAUUGACGCUGAGACGCGAAAAGCGUGGGGAGCAAACAGG